AUGCAACCAAAGAGCAAAGGAGGUGUUGGUUUUAGAUAUUUCAGAAUCUUUAACCAAGCACUAUUAGCUAGGAAAGCAUGGAGAUUAAUUCUGAAGCCUGACAGCCUAUGCGCACUAGUGCUUAAAGCCAGAUACUAUCCGGAGGGUAAACUUGAGGAUAUUGUUUUCACUGGCAAUGCUUCUUCUUCUUGGCAAGCUAUUAGCUACGAUCUUGAACUCUUGAAGAAGGGCUUGGUUUGGAGAGUAGGGAACGGAAGAAGUAUACGAGUGUGGCGGGACAGAUGGAUCCCCAGACCCUUCUCCUAUAAACCCUUCACCUUACAAGGGAGGUGCAGAAUUCGUUUCGUCCCAGAUUUGCUUUUGAGAAUGGUUCAUGGAAGGUUGGCCUGCUACAGGGAUACUUCAUGCCUGCAGAUGUUGUGGAGAUUAUGA
rnacentral:rRNA from 1 species